rnacentral:rRNA from 1 species
GCUUUACGGCAGCUACACAUGCAAGUCGAGCGGUAACAGAUCCAGCUUGCUGGAUGCUGACGAGCGGCGGACGGGUGAGUAAUGCAUAGGAAUCUGCCCGAUAGUGGGGGAUAACCUGGGGAAACCCAGGCUAAUACCGCAUACGUCCUACGGGAGAAAGGGGGCUUCGGCUCCCGCUAUCGGAUGAGCCUAUGUCGGAUUAGCUAGUUGGUGAGGUAACGGCUCACCAAGGCCACGAUCCGUAGCUGGUCUGAGAGGAUGAUCAGCCACAUCGGGACUGAGACACGGCCCGAACUCCUACGGGAGGCAGCAGUGGGGAAUAUUGGACAAUGGGGGGAACCCUGAUCCAGCCAUGCCGCGUGUGUGAAGAAGGCCCUCGGGUUGUAAAGCACUUUCAGCGAGGAAGAACGCCUAGCGGUUAAUACCCGCUAGGAAAGACAUCACUCGCAGAAGAAGCACCGGCUAACUCCGUGCCAGCAGCCGCGGUAAUACGGAGGGUGCAAGCGUUAAUCGGAAUUACUGGGCGUAAAGCGCGCGUAGGUGGCUUGAUAAGCCGGUUGUGAAAGCCCCGGGCUCAACCUGGGAACGGCAUCCGGAACUGUCAAGCUAGAGUGCAGGAGAGGAAGGUAGAAUUCCCGGUGUAGCGGUGAAAUGCGUAGAGAUCGGGAGGAAUACCAGUGGCGAAGGCGGCCUUCUGGACUGACACUGACACUGAGGUGCGAAAGCGUGGGUAGCAAACAGGAUUAGUCCCC